rnacentral:rRNA from 1 species
AACGAACGCUGGCGGCAUGCCUAACACAUGCAAGUCGAACGAGACCUUCGGGUCUAGUGGCGCACGGGUGCGUAACGCGUGGGAACCUGCACUUAGGUUCGGAAUAACUCCCCGACAGGGGUGCUAAUACCGGAUAAUGUCUUCGGCCCAAAGAUUUAUCGAAUUUGGAUGGGCCCGCGUUGGAUUAGCUAGUUGGUAGGGUAAAAGCCUACCACGGCGACGAUCCAUAGCUGGUCUGAGAGGAUGAUCAGCCACACUGGGACUGAGACACGGCCGAGACUCCUACGGGAGGCAGCAGUGGGGAAUAUUGGACAAUGGGGGAAAGCCUGAUGCAGCAAGGCCGCGUGAGUGAUGAAGGCCUUAGGGUUGUAAAGCUCUUUUACCCGGGAUGAUAAUGACAGUACCGGGAGAAUAAGCUCCGGCUAACUCCGUG